AACGAACGCUGGCGGCACGCCUAACACAUGCAAGUCGAGCGAGACCUUCGGGUCUAGCGGCGGACGGGUUAGUAACGCGUGGGAACGUGCCCUUCUCUGCGGAAUAGCCACUGGAAACGGUGAGUAAUACCGCAUACGCCUUCGGGGGAAAGGAUUUAUCGGAGAAGGAUCGGCCCGCGUUAGAUUAGAUAGUUGGUGGGUAACGGCCUACCAAGUCUACGAUCUAUAGCUGGGUUUUAGAGGAUGAUCAGCAACACUGGGACUGAGACACGGCCCAGACUCCUACGGGAGGCAGCAGUGGGGAAUCUUAGACAAUGGGCGCAAGCCUGAUCUAGCCAUGCCGCGUGUGUGAUGAAGGUCUUAGGAUCGUAAAGCACUUUCGCCAGGGAUGAUAAUGACAGUACCUGGUAAAGAAACCCCGGCUAACUCCGUG
rnacentral:rRNA from 1 species